UUUGCCCUGAUAUCUUACCUUUUGCACGUACAAAUCACAUUAUACUUAAGAAAGUGACUACACAAUACCGGGUUGUUUACGUUUAUAUCAUAAUUGUUAUUUCAAAUGAUUUCAGUGAUGGACUGAAUUUAAAACGAAAGAUUGAGUAUUAUUCACAGCACGUGUUUAAAUUUGUGCCUUGCUUGACAACUACCUCGCUGAAAUCAUUAUUGGGACACGCUGAACAGGAUAAAUGCAGUAGGACCCGGAUGGACGUUGCACGAGGUCAAGAGGAAAUGGGUAGACCUGAAAAGUGCAACAAAGGCAAAAGAAAGUAAUUGAAGAAUGAAGUGGGACAAACUGGCGGUGGACCUGCGCCAGAUAAAUUGACACCACUUGAAGAAAAGGUGCUGACCAUCAUCCCUAAAGUAUCAAUUGAGGGCGUGACUGCAGAUGGGGAUGUGUUUACAGAAAAUCUAAAAGAAAAUAAAAUGGUUUCACUGGCUGAAAAUGUUGCACCACUUCAAUUGACUGAAAACUUUAAGACUCAAACACAAGUUGCAUCAACCAGCUGUGAACAAUUAGAAAACAAAAAACGAACGACAGACGCAACAAAUACCACAUGUCAAGCAUGUAGGAGCAGCGUGACGAAAACUCAGGAGGAGAUGUUGAUUGCAUCAAGGGAAAGAAAUGCCAUUUUGAAAGACAUUAACAAAAAUCUCGAGGAACUGGUUUCUUUAAAGAAAAUGAAAUUCUUAAAUGCUCAAUUGAUUCCCAAAUUGUAAAUUGGUUUUUAAUGUGAUGAUGUUAUGUGUUAAGUGUUUCUAUGAAGCGUAUAAACUUAAUAAUUUAGAUUUAUUAUUAAUUGUCAGAUGAAUUAUUACACUAUGCCCAGUUGGUAUAUUGUACUUUCUAAAUAAUAAUAAAUACAUGUGAAUGUU